CUUGCUAAAUGUGACCAUUUUUCUGUCUUAAAAAGCAUCCAUUCUAGUAGUACCACUAUUUAGACCCUUCUAAACCAAAAACAAUAGAUAACUUGCCGUAUUUUUUCAUUUAUACCUGAUACAUGUUACACUGAAUCAGAGGAGCAGUUGUUUUUUCACUGGACUGUGAUUGGGUAAUGUAAAGUUUUAAUCCAUUGGUCAUGCCUUGUCUUAAAACGUUUAUAUGCUUUCCUACAACAUUUUGGCUGUAUAGUUUUGGUGUUUGUCUUAGAGAAUUCUUUGGCAGGAAGUGAUUUUUGUGAGGUGAUAUGGCUUUGAAGAUGUGUAUAAGCUAAAAACAGUAUUUUAUUGAGAUCAGUAGUAGUUAUUGUGUCUAUCAACUCUAAAAUCAAGUGCCAGAGAGAACUUUAAAAUUUUAAGCUGUGUAUAAAAUUGUUUUAUGUAGCAUUGAAAUUUUCUGUCAGUUUUGUAAGUCACUGUAAAUGAUUAUCAGCUUGAAGUUAUUUUUAUAUUAAAAGUUGACAAAUAACAUAAGUGGAUGAUGACAUUUGGGGCCAAAAGUGAGAAUAUGUUUCCUCUAAAAUACUUCCCUAAGCAGUGGUGUACCUGGUUAUUUUAUUUAUUUGUUUCUCUCCUAUAUUUCUCUGUGAACCAUGCUCCAGUCUGAUUUUUGGUUUUUUUUUUUUUUUUAUCACCAUAAUAAGGGAAGAUGUAGAAAUAGAGACUUAAGUUGCACAAAUUUGAUACUGUUAAAUACGAGAACAUAUGGGUACUUACUUUUUGAGGGUCUGUUAAUACAUACGGUUGUCACAAUACAUAAACAUGAUAAAUAGUGUAUAUGUACAAAUGCUUGUGGUCUAUACAUUUUUUUAUACUCACUUAGUUUAUCUUCUUGAAUCGUUGUUCAGCAACAUACUAAUUCCUCGUCUAUACUUAUUCUCUAGUGACCAAGUGCUGACAUUUCUUUU
rnacentral:lncRNA from 1 species